GCCUGGUUGGCUCAGUUGGUUAAGCGUCCGACUUCAGCUCAGGUCAUGAACUCGUGGUUCAUGGGUUCGAGUCCCCUGUUGGGCU
rnacentral:tRNA from 1 species